rnacentral:misc_RNA from 1 species
CAUGUGCACGCCCUGAUUGCACAUCCACAUCUCACACCUGUGCACAACCUGUAGCUUGGGAUGAUUAUGAAUGCUGGAAACGGUGUUUGAAUCCCUUGCUAUGAAUUUUUACACACACUUGUAUAAGUCAUAGAAUGAAUAAAGUUAUAGCGUGUAACAACGUUAACAAAUACAACUUUCAGCAACGGAUCUCUUGGCUCUCGCAUCGAUGAAGAACGCAGCGAAAUGCGAUAAGUAAUGUGAAUUGCAGAAUUCAGUGAAUCAUCGAAUCUUUGAACGCACCUUGCGCUCCUUGGUAUUCCGAGGAGCAUGCCUGUUUGAGUGUCAUGAAAUUCUCAACUGCUUCAGCUUUUGUAGCUGAAGUGAAGUUGGAUUUGGAGGAUGAUUGCUGGCGUGACUUUGGUUGCUUGUCGGCUCCUCUUGAAUGCAUGAGCUAUAUCCAGUGGAUCAUGGUGAAGCACCAAUAUGAUAAUUAUCUAUGUUGGAUGUGAAAGCCAUUGAGCAGAGGUUCUGUUAUCAGAAUCUCCUACAGGAAAGCUGUGUCUCGGUUAUAUAGACCUGUUGACAAUAUAAAUGACAAAUUUGACCUCAAAUCAGGUAGGACUAC